GGGGGUGAACGGUUUCGACUUCGGACGUCGAAACAGGGGAAGCGGGCCGAGGAGGCCGGGGCUGAUCUCGUGAACCAUGCCCUGGAAACCAAUAAGCGCCAAUUCCAACCGCGCUGACUUCGCCCUCGCUGCCUAGCAGCAGGGACUAGCCGAAGUCCGUCAGCCCGGGGUCGCCUCCGACCCGGAUGCUGGCGUCGCCAGGAGGCUCCACCCGAGGGUCCGGUCGCGGGACCCUCGGGAAAACCCCACAGCGACUGAGCCUGUCGACGACUUGCCUGCAUGAGAGUCGGGGCUGAGAAAAGCAGAGCAGGCUGCGCCCGGAGAAGCCCUGUAUCCACGCCGAAGGACCCGGGUUCGAUUCCCGGCACCUCCACCG
rnacentral:tmRNA from 1 species